rnacentral:rRNA from 1 species
AACGAACGUUAGCGGCGCGCCUAACACAUGCAAGUCGAGCGAGAAAGGGCUUCGGCCCCGGUAAAGCGGCGCACGGGUGAGUAACACGUGGAUAACCUACCCCUUGGUGGUGGAUAACCUUCCGAAAGGAGGGCUAAUACAGCGUAAGACCACGACUUCGAAAGAGGUUGGGGUAAAAAGUGGGCCUCUGUACACAAGCUCACGCCAGGGGAUGGGUCCGCGGCCCAUCAGCUAGUUGGUAGGGUAACGGCCUACCAAGGCGAAGACGGGUAGCUGGUCUGAGAGGAUGAUCAGCCACACUGGAACUGAGACACGGUCCAGACUCCUACGGGAGGCAGCAGUGGGGAAUCUUGCGCAAUGGACGAAAGUCUGACGCAGCGACGCCGCGUGAGUGAUGAAGGCC